UAGACCGCCUGGGGAGUACGGCCGCAAGGUUAAAACUCAAAUGAAUUGACGGGGGCCCGCACAAGCGGUGGAGCAUGUGGUUUAAUUCGAUGCAACGCGAAGAACCUUACCUGGUCUUGACAUCCACGGAAGUUUCCAGAGAUGGAAUGGUGCCUUCGGGAACCGUGAGACAGGUGCUGCAUGGCUGUCGUCAGCUCGUGUUGUGAAAUGUUGGGUUAAGUCCCGCAACGAGCGCAACCCUUAUCCUUUGUUGCCAGCGGUUAGGCCGGGAACUCAAAGGAGACUGCCAGUGAUAAACUGGAGGAAGGUGGGGAUGACGUCAAGUCAUCAUGGCCCUUACGACCAGGGCUACACACGUGCUACAAUGGCGCAUACAAAGAGAAGCGACCUCGCGAGAGCAAGCGGACCUCAUAAAGUGCGUCGUAGUCCGGAUUGGAGUCUGCAACUCGACUCCAUGAAGUCGGAAUCGCUAGUAAUCGUGGAUCAGAAUGCCACGGUGAAUACGUUCCCGGGCCUUGUACACACCGCCCGUCACACCAUGGGAGUGGGUUGCAAAAGAAGUAGGUAGCUUAACCUUCGGGAGGGCGCUUACCACUUUGUGAUUCAUGACUGGGGUGAAGUCGUAACAAGGUAACCGUAGGGGAACCUGCGGUUGGAUCACCUCCUUACCUUAAAGAAGC
rnacentral:rRNA from 1 species